rnacentral:lncRNA from 1 species
GAGGGGGCAAGAGAGGCGCAGAGAGGGGAGCAUUUGAGCUCUAUGUUUUUUUUAUUUUUCUUUUAUUUUUUCUUUUUCUUUUCGUUUUGAAAGAAUGAAAGGGUGCCUAUCAGAUUAGGGUUUUAACUUUGGCCCUCGUGUGAUGUGUGAAACGACGCCGUUUGGAGUCUGAUCAGUGGCUCCAAAACGGCGCCGUAUUGGAGCCAUGACCUGAU